UUUUAAAAGUGCCCCAAAGGGGGCAAUUUGCCUCGCAAUCACGCCUAGGCCUCCGUCACAGCCACGGUACCGCACGCUCGCUGCCUUUCUCACUCACCCACGCGAGCGCGCGUCCUCUCACCCACAUCAUUGCACCGCCAUCCCAGAUGCCGCCGUGCACUUGCUGUCGUGCCCACACUGAGGUCGUCAUUGAUUCGCACGUCCUCUGACCCACAUCAUCGUGUCGCCGCUGUCGAGCCCACACUACCAUUGCACACGCCGUCGCGCACUUGCCGUCAUGCCCACGCCAGCUGUUUCGUAAUUUUUAUUUUAUUUUUAUCUUUUGUCUGCCUCUUUUUUAUUUGAUAUGAUAUUUGACAUUCAGGUUUACGGGUUUUGUUGGUUGGAUGAAAAAGUAAACACUAAACUUUGAAGUUUAGAAUAUUUUGAUUAUGAAUAACUGGUGACUGGUUGAUGAGGUUUUCUUGAGA